AGGAAGAGGAGAGAGUGCCUGCUUGCACAUAGUAAAGCUAGAAGAGCAUCAAACCCUCUGGAAUUGGAAUGACAGUUGGUUUAAAAUGACUAAUGUGAAUGUUAGAAACCAAACUAGGGUCCUCUGGGACAGCUGCAAGUACUCUCUUAACCCCAGUGCCAGCUCUCCAGUCCCCCAGCUUGUUUUUUGAUGCAGUCUCUCCUUGGCCUGGAGCUGCUCAGACUAGGCUGGCAGGACCACACCCCCAGGGAUCUGUCUGCUCUGAGAUUACAGGUGCACACCAACACAUCUGGCUUUUUAUGUAGGUUUUGAGGAGUGAACUCAGUUCCUCUUACUUACCAUUAGCUGUCUUCCCAUCCCUGUUUGAUAAACUUAAAGCCAUACACAAAAUUUCUAUUUUUCAAAGUUCCAUUGUGUUAAUUGGGAGAGAGAGGUAUGUAUGCUUGGAAGGAAUCCCAAGCUAUUUAAGAAAAUAGCUGAACAAAAAAUGAACAGAAACUGCACACGUUUAUGAGAUGAGAGAGACUGAAAAUAAUUAGGUUUUGCCACUUAAUGCUAGGAGUAAAAUGAAUUUACUUCAAGACCAAUAAAUUCUAUUUUUCUUGAAGAUAAUGUGAGCUAUUCACAUUAUCUUUUCUUCCCAUUUUUAUUUAAAGAAUGUCUGCAUAAUUUCCCAGUGUUUGCAGAGGACUACCAGAAGUUAAAAUGGGCAUGGUUUUGAGAUUUGUCUUUAAGGGCUUAAGUUUUCUUAACUCACUAUAUACAUAUGCACACUACAUUAAUUUAUUAAAUAAUUGGAAAGUAUAGUGAGUGUAAUUUCUGAAAAACAAACUUGUUUUAAAAAAGAUCAGGAACACCAAAUGCCCUAGACAGCAAACCCAGGUGGUUCUGGGAGGCCUUGUCCUGAGCACUGUCACUCUCUCCUUUUUCUGCCGAUUGUUGUAAGGGCAUUUCAUCUCAACGAACCAUCUUCCCCCAAAUCUUUCCUACCUGCAAGAUUGCGUCCCAGUCUGCAAUUGGAGAUGACUCCCUCCCCAUUCUGUCACCUGAAGAUAUCAAAAUGCUGUACUAGUUUUAAUAUCCCCAGGGCACCAGUUUCCUGCUUUUGCACUUCCUCCCUACUUGACAAAACUUCUUUAAAGCCUCUUCAAAAUACCUUUGAAGUUGGCCUGUGCUUACAUGUUGAGGACAGAGGUCAGUGUUAGCUUUUUGUCUUUAGCCACUCUCUACCUUAUCUUCUGAGACAAGAUCUCUCAGUGAACCUGGAGCUCACUGAUUCAUCUAGAUUAGCUUCACUAGGUAGCCUUAGGGAUCCUAACUGAGGUUCGCGUGUAUGUAGCAAGCUCUUCACCAUCCAUCUCCUGGCCCUUGAAGCCUUUCAUAUAUUAUGUAUUUUAAAGUGAUAAUCCUUUUGUGUGCUCCCACUGCUUUGGAACCUGUUCCUUAAGUAGCUAUUGUUCCUUAAAGUAACUAUUAAUUGCAUCUCUUGGACAUGAACUCCUUGAAAUUGGAAAUGACCAUGUUUCUUAUUGUACUUUUUAGGGGGUGGGGGAGGGGAAGACAUUCGAGUGGAUAAACUCAGUCAUUAAGCUGAACUAAAAAAGUUCAGGAUUAGUAAAAUGCUCUUGGAGCCUAAGAAGUGAUUUAGAUAGAAAUAUCUUGACGGACACAGUCCAGUCAAGCCUAGACAGAUCCAGAAGGGACAGAUCUCCCAUCUUUAUAUAAGAGUCCUUACAAAUACUUAGCUUAUAGUAUGUUUUUUUUUUCCUAUUUGAUCAAUAACACUAUCCUUUUUCAGUGUUUUUAUAAAUCUCCAAACC
rnacentral:lncRNA from 1 species